UACGGGGGGGCAAGCGUUGUUCGGAAUUACUGGGCGUAAAGGGCUCGUAGGCGGCCAACUAAGUCAGACGUGAAAUCCCUCGGCUUAACCGGGGAACUGCGUCUGAUACUGGUUGGCUUGAGUGUGGGAGAGGGAUGCGGAAUUCCAGGUGUAGCGGUGAAAUGCGUAGAUAUCUGGAGGAACACCGGUGGCGAAGGCGGCAUCCUGGACCAUUACUGACGCUGAGGAGCGAAAGCCAGGGAGCAAGCGGG
rnacentral:rRNA from 1 species